CCUACGGGUGGCAGCAGUGGGGAAUAUUGCACAAUGGGCGCAAGCCUGAUGCAGCCAUGCCGCGUGUAUGAAGAAGGCCUUCGGGUUGUAAAGUACUUUCAGCGGGGAGGAAGGCGAUAAGGUUAAUAACCUUGUCGAUUGACGCUACCCGCAGAAGAAGCACCGGCUAACUCCGUGCCAGCAGCCGCGGUAAUACGGAGGGUGCAAGCGUUAAUCGGAAUUACUGGGCGUAAAGCGCACGCAGGCGGUCUGUCAAGUCGGAUGUGAAAUCCCCGGGCUCAACCUGGGAACUGCAUCUGAUACUGGCAAGCUUGAGUCUCGUAGAGGGGGGUAGAAUUCCAGGUGUAGCGGUGAAAUGCGUAGAGAUCUGGAGGAAUACCGGUGGCGAAGGCGGCCCCCUGGACGAAGACUGACGCUCAGGUGCGAAAGCGUGGGGAGCAAACAGGAUUAGAUACCCGCGUAGUC
rnacentral:rRNA from 1 species